rnacentral:sRNA from 2 species
AACCACCACCGCUCCGAAAAUUGAGUGUCCAACAGCCGUAACUACCCAAGGUUGCUGGCAAGCCCAAUGUCGCCGAUUCCGCAAAACUAUGUUGGCUAACACAUAUAAACAUGUCAACAACCACCUCGCCGCGCCUGGACUGCUCCCGCGCAUACAAUCCCAAUCCUGCCGCAGAGUCUCCUCGUCUGCUCUCCGCACACAGCUAAACCAGCUACCCCAACGCCGUCUUCCGCUCUUCUACGACUAUCUCACCCCGCAACAAUCGCAUCUCCUCAAUCUAUCUCUCGCCGGCUUCGUCCCUGCCACAGCAACCGUUAACAAUGCCAAAUCAUCUCCAACGACUGCAUCAACAACCCUCCCAUCCUCAACUUUGGACCCACCGCCUAUGCCUGCCGGUCAUCACCUAGUUUAUUUUCCACCACAGAUCCCCAUCUCCCAACUCUUACCAGACGGUACGGAUAGAUUACAUUCCCCAGGUUCACCCUUUAAUAGACGGAUGUGGGCCGGGGGUUGGGUGAGAUUGUGCAAAAAAAAUCACAAUAAUGAUUGUAAUACGGCUAGGUCUGGAAAGCAUAGACCGCUGCUACUCAGCGGGCGACGUGCUGUGUGCAUCGAAGGUAUUCGAGAUGUGUCCGUGAAGGGCAAGGAGGGGGAUGAGAAGGUGUUUGUGGGUGUUGAG